AUAACUUCGGAAGAUGGUCAAGGUAGCUUGCUUCCAAGCCACUGCACUAGAUGGGCAUGUAGUCGUAGUAGUCGGCCCAGAAUGCCUCUCUUCUUUACUAAAAUACUAUUUCGGAUGAAUGGGGAAUUACGUCGCUCUUUGAUCUGCAGAAUAAGGCUUAGGAGCUCUCUCUUUUAUGGCAGAGAUCUCUCCAUACCAAGAAACCGAAUCACAAUGGAUCGAAGCCCUCCUUUUCCUUCCAAUUAGUGAGAUUCUAUCUCUUACUUGGGAAAUUGUGGUCAAGCCCUCCCUUUAUUCCUCGGAAUCGAGCGGGCAGCAAGAAUUAGAAUCAACCUAUAUAACAUCUGUUCCCAUGUAGUCGGCAUUCUAGAAGCAAAGCUUCCCGGUCGCCUGCCUCCUUGUGUGGAAAUGCUUUUCAUGAUCUCCAGCUCUUUCCCACCAGCUCGUUCUUUACUAGGCAUCUAGGCGAACCCGCCGGGUUAAUUAACUCAACGUAAAGAAAGCUCAUUAGGUCAAAACUAGGGGAGUGCUUACUAAUAGCGAAAGGUUAACAUCUCUCCGCCCUUAUUAGUAGUAGCGAACAUCAGGUAACUUCGUGCUGUAAAACGACAGAUUGGUAAUGAAAGGCAAUGUACUAAGAAAGCGCAACUCUAUUAGACCUUUAUCUGGAAAAAGCUGGAAGAAAGGCGAGAGCCUCUCUUCUUUACUAAAAUACUAUUUCGGAUGAAUGGGGAAUUACGUCGCUCUUUGAUCUGCAGAAUAAGGCUUAGGAGCUCUCUCUUUUAUGGCAGAGAUCUCUCCAUACCAAGAAACCGAAUCACAAUGGAUCGAAGCCCUCCUUUUCCUUCCAAUUAGUGAGAUUCUAUCUCUUACUUGGGAAAUUGUGGUCAAGCCCUCCCUUUAUUCCUCGGAAUCGAGCGGGCAGCAAGAAUUAGAACCAACCUAUAUAACAUCUGUUCCCAUGUAGUCGGCAUUCUAGAAGCAAAGC
rnacentral:lncRNA from 1 species